ACUUGAGGGAAGUUGGAUCGGAAGGCGUGGAGGAAGGAGAAGGCAUGAACUCGCCGCAACCGUCUAGCGCGUGACCUCCAAUCGCGGCAGCGUGGUUCUUGAGGCAUUCUUUGUAUGUGACGGUGACUGUGUGGUGGUGGAUGUGGUGGUGGCGUUUGAUGAUUCCGUUGCUGAAGGAGAUCGGUUUAGCUGGUUGGAUCCGGGUUGGUGUUUCGGAUUCGGGUUCAGGAGAUUUAGGAGUCAUAUCCAUUGCUCCAACUUCAAGCAUCGAUGGCUUAAUUAUUUUCAAAGAUAAUCUUGAGAGAAAAGAAAACGAAAAUUAGGGUUUGGGUUUGUUAUUAUUAUUAUUAUUAUUAUUAAUAUUCUCGCCGCCAGAAACAGCGACGCCGUUGUCGAUCUUCUGGACGGUGGUGUCGCCGGAGAACGGCUGGUCGCGGCGGGUGUUGAAGGUGUUUUUGUUAUUGUGCAUCCAGACCUUGAGCACGCCUUUAUCAACAGGGAAGAGUCAUCGGGGUCACGGCGGUGGAAGUUACGGUGGCAACCGCAGGCGGCACACUUGAGGGAAGUUGGAUCGGAAGGCGUGGAGGAAGGAGAAGGCAUGAACUCGCCGCAACCGUCUAGCGCGUGACCUCCAAUCGCGGCAGCGUGGUUCUUGAGGCAUUCUUUGUAUGUGACGGUGACUGUGUGGUGGUGGAUGUGGUGGUGGCGUUUGAUGAUUCCGUUGCUGAAGGAGAUCGGUUUAGCUGGUUGGAUCCGGGUUGGUGUUUCGGAUUCGGG
rnacentral:lncRNA from 1 species